rnacentral:rRNA from 1 species
GUGAACGCUGGCGGUAGGCCUAACACCUGCCAGUCGCACGGCAGCACAGUAAGAGCUUGCUCUUACGGGUGGCGAGUGGCGGACGGGUGAGGAAUACAUCGGAAUCUACUUUUUCGUGGGGGAUAACGUAGGGAAACUUACGCUAAUACCGCAUACGACCUACAGGUGAAAGCAGGGGAUCUUCGGACCUUGCGCGAUUGAAUGAGCCGAUGUCGGAUUAGCUAGUUGGCGGGGUAAAGGCCCACCAAGGCGACGAUCCGUAGCUGGUCUGAGAGGAUGAUCAGCCACACUGGAACUGAGACACGGUCCAGACUCCUACGGGAGGCAGCAGUGGGGAAUAUUGGACAAUGGGCGCAAGCCUGAUCCAGCCAUACCGCGUGGGUGAAGAAGGCCUUCGGGUUGUAAAGCCCUUUUGUUGGGAAAGAAAAGCAGCAGGUUAAUACCCCGCUGUUCUGACGGUACCCAAAGAAUAAGCACCGGCUAACUUCGUG